rnacentral:rRNA from 1 species
CCUACGGGUGGCAGCAGUGGGGAAUAUUGGACAAUGGGCGAAAGCCUGAUCCAGCCAUGCCGCGUGUGUGAAGAAGGCCUUCGGGUUGUAAAGCACUUUCAGUGGGGAAGAAAGCCUUGGGGCUAAUACCCUCGAGGAAGGACAUCACCCACAGAAGAAGCACCGGCUAACUCCGGCCAGCAGCCGCGGUAAUACGGAGGGUGCGAGCGUUAAUCGGAAUUACUGGGCGUAAAGCGCGCGUAGGCGGUCUGAUAAGCCGGUUGUGAAAGCCCCGGGCUCAACCUGGGAACGGCAUCCGGAACUGUCAGGCUAGAGUGCAGGAGAGGAAGGUAGAAUUCCCGGUGUAGCGGUGAAAUGCGUAGAGAUCGGGAGGAAUACCAGUGGCGAAGGCGGCCUUCUGGACUGACACUGACGCUGAGGUGCGAAAGCGUGGGUAGCAAACAGGAUUAGAUACCCCUGUAGUC